CGGGACGGGUGAGUAAUGUCUGGGAAACUGCCUGAUGGAGGGGGAUAACUACUGGAAACGGUAGCUAAUACCGCAUAACGUCGCAAGACCAAAGAGGGGGACCUUAGGGCCUCUUGCCAUCGGAUGUGCCCAGAUGGGAUUAGCUAGUAGGUGGGGUAACGGCUCACCUAGGCGACGAUCCCUAGCUGGUCUGAGAGGAUGACCAGCCACACUGAAACUGAGACACGGUCCAG
rnacentral:rRNA from 1 species